rnacentral:rRNA from 1 species
CCUGGCUCAGAUUGAACGCUGGCGGCAUGCUUUACACAUGCAAGUCGAACGGCAGCGGGGGCUUCGGCCUGCCGGCGAGUGGCGAACGGGUGAGUAAUGCAUCGGAACGUGCCCAUGUCGUGGGGGAUAACGUAGCGAAAGCUACGCUAAUACCGCAUACGCCCUGAGGGGGAAAGCGGGGGAUUCUUCGGAACCUCGCGCGAUUGGAGCGGCCGAUGUCGGAUUAGCUAGUAGGUGAGGUAAAGGCUCACCUAGGCGACGAUCCGUAGCGGGUCUGAGAGGAUGAUCCGCCACACUGGGACUGAGACACGGCCCAGACUCCUACGGGAGGCAGCAGUGGGGAAUUUUGGACAAUGGGCGCAAGCCUGAUCCAGCCAUGCCGCGUGAGUGAAGAAGGCCUCGGGUU